rnacentral:rRNA from 1 species
AUUGAACGCUAGCGGGAUGCUUAACACAUGCAAGUCGAACGGAGUGGCGGACGGGUGAGUAAUAUAUCGGAACAUGCCCAAUAGAGGGGGAUAACUACUGGAAAGAGUAGCUAAUACCGCAUACUAUAAGAGGUGCCCAUAUGGGAUUAGCGAGUUGGUGGGGUAAAGGCUGACCAAGGCAACGAUCCCUAGCUGGUUUGAGAGGAUGACCAUCCACACUGGAAAUGAGAUACGGCCCAGACGCCUACGGGAGGCAGCAGUGGGGAAUUUUGGACAAUGGGCGAAACCCUGAUGCAGCCAUCCCGCGUGUAUGAUGAAGGCCUUCGGGUUGUAAAGUACUUUUAGAAGAGAAGCGGUACCUGCAGAAUAAGCACCGGCUAACUCCGUGCCAGCAGCCGCGGUAAUUC